GAGCCCCAGUGUGCUGAUGUGGUUGGCUGUUCAGGGUACAGCGAGGUGGGCAGUGGGGUGGAGGCAGAGUGAACAACGAGGGAAAAAACAGAAGGUGAAGUUGGAGAGUUCAGGAGGAUCUAGAAUGUGUAGUUCCCUGACAGCUGCUUUCAGAACCCUGGCUGUUAUUCUGGAAGAUACCAGAACCACUGCAGAAGUCGGAGCUGAGGUAUGACGUAAUUUGACUGGUAUUUUAAAGACAUCCACCUGGCUGCUAUGUUCAGAAUGCCCUCUGGAGGGCCAGAGUGUGGGCAGGAAGCAGAGAAGCCCGCAGGAGCUUAUGUCAACAUCUAUGCAAGAGAUGGCACUGGCUCGACCCGGGAAGGUAGUGCUGGAGGAAAGAAGGAAAAAGAUGACCUGGCCUCCUUGUAAACAUGUGAAUGGCAUACACAUACAGCACAUUUACUAGAAAAGAGGUCUAAGAGUUUGGAUGGCAAAUGAACGAGAAUCUCUGAAUUUAUGGGGUAAUUAGUUUGAGAGCAUCUGUGACAGUCUAAGUGGUGGCCCCCAUGGCACUGCUGUUUUUCUUCUCUAUUCUGUUGCUAAUAAUGUUUUCUUCAUCCCUGGACACCUGUCAGAUACUGAUGAAGUGAACUGGCUCAAGAAAGGGCUGGACCUUGUUAAUUGCAUAGAAAAAACUAUCAAGAUGGCUGAAAUCAAAUGCAAAGAGGCAACAUUAAACAAGACCUAAAAAAAUUUAAAAAAAAAACAAUAAACAAACAAACAAAAAAAACAAGCAACAGACCAUAUCUGGAAGUACAAUUUAUGAUUUUUUUUCAGGUAUUUCAGGUAAUCCAAUGCCAAAAAGCAUCUUAUCUUCUAGUGGUUGGGGAAUCUUCUGGAAAAGAGAUCCAAACCAACUGGCUUCCUUGUCCCCUCUCCAUGUGUGACACAGAGCAGCACCCACUGGAAGGGAAGGACUACAAACGCUGUUUUCCUCACAAGAGUUCCUACAGUUGAUGUGACUUCAGAGACUCCUGUAGACUAUGGAAACAGGGUGGCAAAGCGCCCUGUCCUGAUGGAGUCCACUGCAGAAAGCAGGGUUGUCUGUGGCUGUAAAUUAUUUCACUCUUUGCUCUUGUCCCAGAGAAACAGCUUUAGGUAGCACCUAAAUCUGCAAAUCCAAGAGCCUUGUCCCUCGGAUAAAGAGCUUUGCCUCUGUCUUCCUUGAAAGGAGCUGGGGCACAAGUCACUGCCACCAUCCUCCUUCCUGGCUCCCUGGGUUUUUUCUUUCCCUGAAUUCAGUAUUUUCCCCUCUCUUCCUUCUGCUCAUCCUCUAGAAGCUCUUUGUCCAGUCCUGAAGCAACUGCGAUGGUUUCUAGGUGAUUCUGAGGGAAGGGUGACACGUCAUUUGUCUGGAAGUUUUGUGUAGGCUACGGGUGGGGCAGUGAAAUGGGUUAGCUCCACUGAGCAUUUAAUGACCCAAUUAGAACUUGGAUGACCCAAAAUAUUUUUAAAAAUCAUCUGGAUUGUAUUAGAUGGCUUCAUAUUUAUAACUAUCUAAAAUGGACAAGCCCCUAACACUGAGGAGGCCUUUUGGGGUGAAGACCGAGAAGCUGCCUUAAUGCCAAGGCACGCCUGAGCACAGGUGAGAACAGCCAGGUGCUCUGGAUGUCCACCUACGUCCCUCCAAAGAUCAUCACAAUGCAUCCCUCAUGCCCCACCUCAUCAGUUCAGAGGCUCAAGCUGCCCAUCAUUCUUAUCACCCAAACUCUCAGUCCCACAUGGGUCCAUACGUUUCCUAGUAUCAGCCAAUUUCCAUGCUUCCCUCUCUCCUAAGCCCUUUUUCUGUGUCCCCUGAAAUUCCUGUUCAUGAUAAACUAACUCCCCUGUAUAAUCAGCCUUUUGAAAGGUUUCCCUGUCCACACUGACUUAACUGAAACUGACCCGUCUCCUUUGCAACCUUUUCAAGUGAAGACUGCUUUUCAUUUCAUGUUCAUAUCCUUCAAGGCCAGAGGUGAAGCUGGUUGUCCCCUGGCUCCUUAAUGACACCCCUAAAUGCUUGGGUUCCUCUCCCUUGCAAAACCCACCACUCCUUUGAGACCCAUGCUUCACCCUCACCUCCUCACUGCUGCCCCCGAUCUCCUGGAUGCAGCCCCUCAUUCUUGAGAGGCUGCAGCUUCAGGCUGUUCUCACCUUUCCUCCAAUUCUUGUCAUUAUUCUGGGGACUUGCACUCCUUUAUGAAUAAGCCACCAUCAAUCUAUUCUUUCUGUUUUACCUUCUCAUCCUGCUGACCUUUUUUUCAUCCUUCUAUUCUCAGGAUCCAGGCCCUGUCAUCCUGAGAAAUUGUACCACCUCUGAAAUCCUAAUUCCAAAUAUGUCUCUUUCCAAUGAUCAUCUCUUAUCUUUCUAAAUCUCUUGCUAAGGUAUGAACAUUGUUUAAACUCUUCAACUUCAUCAAGACUUCUAAUUAAAUGGCCCCACAUUUCCUCUCCAGCAUGGGCCUCUCCAAGCCCACCUUCCUUCCUGGUCUGACAGCUUCUGUCAUCCACCACCAGAAGCAUUGCCUGGAAAACACAGAUCUCCAUGGUCCUUUUUAUCUGAAGGCAAAAUCCCAGGUCUGGAAAACGUCACCUUCACCUUCCCUGGGCGUGCACCCCUGCAGCUGAACACAAUGGCACGAUGGCUUUCUCUUAAAUAACUGACCACAAACUUCAAAUGGGCAUUUACAACUUCCUCAAGAUUGUAUUGUGUUUCUCUAGUGACAUGUUUUCUCUUCUUUCUUCCCCUCAACCCUCCAAAAGCAGGGGGUGAAAUAAAAAAGAUGAAAUGAGGAUAGUUACAAAAGAUAGGAGAUAGAAGUUCUUAAAUAGCAAGGGUAAGAAAUAUUUUUAUAAAUUUUGGCAAUAGUUAUGAUAAUUAGAAUUAAGAUAAGAAGUGAAAUAGUUAUAGAA